rnacentral:rRNA from 1 species
UGGGGAAUCUUGCACAAUGGGCGAAAGCCUGAUGCAGCAACGCCGCGUGCGGGAAGACAGCCCUAGGGUUGUAAACCGCUUUCAGCAGGGAAGAAACUGACGGUACCUGCAGAAGAAGAUGCGGCCAACUACGUGCCAGCAGCCGCGGUGACACGUAGGCAUCAAGCGUUAUCCGGAUUUAUUGGGCGUAAAGAGCUCGUAGGCGGUCCGUUGCGUCUGCCGUGAAAACCCGGAGCUCAACUCCGGGCCUGCGGUGGAUACGGGCGGACUAGAGUCCGGUAGGGGAGACUGGAAUUCCUGGUGUAGCGGUGGAAUGCGCAGAUAUCAGGAGGAACACCGGGUGGCGAAGGCGGGGUCUCUGGGCCGGAACUGACGCUGAGGAGCGAAAGCGU